UCUCCGUUGGUGAACCAGCGGAGGGAUCAUUACAGGACUCGCAAGACUCCUACAACCCUGCGAACUUAACUAUAAGCACGUUGCUUCGGCGGGUGUCUCGGAGGGGGUUCUCCCUCCCCGAGACGCUAAACCCGCCGGCAGCCUACUAUACUCUGUCUCUUUGCGUUGGCAUCUCGAGUACAAUCAAACAAGUUAAAACUUUCAACAACGGAUCUCUUGGUUCUG
rnacentral:misc_RNA from 1 species